AAGAUUAAUGCUGGAACGCAUUGAUGCCACUAUGAGGCUCUUCCGCCGAGAAGGAUGUUGAGCUUUCAGUCUCAAACAGGAAGGCCCAUUUUAAAGGGAUUAGGUGCAGCGAUGUGAUUGGAGCUUAAUCGCUCUUAUGCACAGACACAUGAUUGCAAACGCGCGCACACACACACGCACACAAUCAAAUACACUCGUGCUUCCUGAUUUAGUUGUGAUGAACACAACAUACUUCUAGGUCAAUAGAAGCUUUGCAACAGUGUUCUAAUCCGCUAUGCCUUUUCGAUUCACUCUGGUGGAUCGGGGGAAAGUUUUUCCAAGUAGUUCCAGUACUUAUUUUUUACACUAGUUGAUUUUUUUUCAUUAAAGUGUGAUUUUUGCUCCAUUUUGACAUUGGGCUGAGUUGACAUAGGGCUGAGUUGUAUUCGCUGUGUGACUGAGGUUAAAUGAUUGUUAAGUCACUUGUGUCAAGUUGUUUGCUGCCUUGAGGAAUUUUAGUUUAAUUCCCUAAAAUGGGCGCCGGAGCGUGAAAUUAGAAAAAUCCCCCCGGUACAUCCUCGCAGUUUUAAUUGAAGAGGGUCAGAUGGAAACAGAUAGCAGUCAACUUGUUUCAAAACUUUUAUUUAACGAGCAGACAAUGGUGCUGCAUCCAAUCUCAUUAUUUUUGUAUGACAACCUUAUUCUGCGUCUGAAUUUGUUCUAAACUCACAUCAUUAUUUAAUUUAUGUGCUCAUUAAUCCCCAUCUCCAAUACAUGGCUGUACAUACUAUAUAGUUCACACACACUGUGUCUAAAAUGAAUAAUUCAAGCUGUUCUUCUUGUUUCCAGUCCUUGUGCUAAGCUAAGCUAACCGACUGUUAAGUUCCUAUUUACCGUGCAAACAUAGUAGUAUCAGUCUUCUUUGACGCUUGUCCAGAAAGCAAUAAGACAAUAUCCCAAAUUGUCAAACUAGUCCUUUAAGAAGAAUACGUUCAGAAAAACACAUCCUACCCAGUUAUUACAUGCUGACUGUGACCAGAAAGUCUGUGUAAAACCAAAGUGCUUAUUUCAGCAUGUCGGCUGGACCGUGCAGGAUUUAGCUUUUUAUGCUUUAGACCGGCCGGUUAAGAAAUAAACAUGGAUUGUAAAAAUUGAGUUAGCACAGCGCACCUCACAUGCACCCGUCUUUACACAACAGGCCAGACUAGUGCUGAAUUAUAGGUCUCUGCUUGCUUGGUUGUGGAAGCAAAUCUCGCAAUACUGGGUGAUAGAUCUUGAUCAUUUUGUUAUGUUGAAACUACAAUUCAUUGCUUAAUGGCAAGUGAGAGAAUUUUGGUAACGCAAUAAAGCAGCUGCCGCAGCUCUGAUGAAAGUAUGAUGAUAUCUUUAGUGAAGCCAAAUUGUGUAAAACACAAGUGAAGAUGGUGAAAAUGAGGUGAAAACGAGGUGAACCUAAAGCACCGGAAAGGCGAAAAUGCUCGGUCCAACUUUUGCCGCAGCAAAUGAUUUUCAAGAAAUUACAAUUGGCUCUUUGAUAUAAAACGCUCUAAUUCCCAGCAUGUAGCAGCUGCAGAGCCUCGGGGCAGCUCGAGCUUCGGUUUGAACCUUUCCGGAGGUGUGCGAAAUGUGCAAUGUGUCAAUCUGCUGGGGCUCGGAAGUACAAAUUGGGACAAGCCACGCUUAUGUCCACAUGAGACCCAUUUCAGAGACAAUCCUUUUGUCACAAAGAAUCUGUUUGGGUCGGUUGCUUCAGGAAUCCUGUGUGCUUUGGGUUAAGCAGUGGAAGCACUAAUACUUAAAGUGUUUCUACUAAUCCUGGUGGGUGAAUGGGUUCAAUAGAAUGCUUCCAAGGCACGUGUUUGUGUGUGUUUCUAUACACAUACGCAUUGUACAACCAGUUUACCGUGGUUGUGUUUUCUGCCCCGGCACAGAAGGGAGUGCGUUCGAGUAAGCGAGAUGGUGCAGAGCCCUGAUGACUUAAUGGUCUAAUGGGGAGCUCUGUGCUCUGCGACAUGGAGUAUGUCUUCCUUAAUGAGAGCGACAGCAUCAGAUAACAGUCCGUCACAGCCCAAGUAUGAACUGUUGCUUUGCUGUUUUAUGCAUUUAAAAGUGGGAACGUAGGGGAGGAUGUGGUUUGCGAUCCAAUCGGCUCAGAUGAUUCCCAGACACCAGAACAAUCUCAUGUCUUUCCUAACCAAGAGUUAAUUUGGAUGUAUUUGUUUAUUGGGUCCUUCAACUUUUCCUUUACGGUUCAUUCUGCUGUUUUUAACAAUAACAAAAAAAAGCUCAGAUAAAUCCACUCCACAUCUGCUCAACGCUCAGCGACGGACUGCAUUAACCACUCGCUAUCUGCACACGUGUGCUCACACGGUUGACCUUUCAGAGUUAAGUCUGUUAAUAUGGGUUUUUCCUCAAGUUUAAUAAGCCUUUCUUUAUUUCCUACGAUGUAUGUUGGCAGCUGAAAAUCUGCAAGUCCAACUCGGUGUGUCACUGAUACCAUUCAAGUGCUGCUAAAUGUAACGAGCCAUUACGCAUCAAUUGGCAAUCUAAUUUGCUGUUGAAAGCCUGCGGACACCGACCCUCCCUAACCAGAUGAUGGAUGGUGGAGAGCAGCAGAGUAGCGAGGGCGUAGAUGGUGGUGCCACUCUGCACUCCCGUGCAUUUGCUUUAAAACUGAUAUCUGGCAAAAGCCAGAUUCUUUUCAAACCUGCAGCACGUCUUGAAAAAAUGUCACAGAGCAGCUGGUGUUUCCCAGUCCGCUCCACGGGGCUCUGCGUCGAGGACGGCGAGAAAACGGAGGAGGGAACACAUUUGGCUGGAGCUCCUGAUCGUCCUGUGACUGCGGCCUCAUCAGUAAGUCAGUGUUCCUAAUGUUCCACACGAACAGCGUGUCCUGUGGAGAAGACUCCGGAGGGAGUCCUCGCGAACACGCACGGCUCAUCUGGGAGGUGGGUGAGGGUGUGCGGUCGGGUCCGUGCGUCUCAUGAUCUCAUUAAGAAGUUUAGUGUUGACUUAUUAUGUCGCCGUUAUAUAACCAGACGUCGGUGUCCCUCGAGCUUGUGCGGCUUUAACUGUAGUUGUUGUAUGUUGAUCUUCUUUGAAGAUCCCAUGCAAUUACUUCAGUCCUCCGGUGGAAAAACAACCAGCUGAAGAGGAAAUACGAGAUCUGUAAAGAUACCAGAUGUCUCUAUUGACCCUUAGGAUGUUCAUGUUUGUUCUACUGUCUACUUUUUGAGCUCCAACUUUUAGCGUGUGUUGAAACGGGCCCGAACAGGCUCCUCCUUUGUGUCCUCUUUCCAUCCUGUAUGUCAGGAAGCACUUCCUGCUUGUCCGUACUGAGGGACCUUAAAGAGAACAUGGCUCCAGCCCUUCAUCCUCUCAUCCGAUGUGCCGAGGUGUCACGUGACUCUCCAGCAACAGUGUGCGCUGUUGUCGCCCUUUGUUCCCGUGGCUCUUCGUCCCACAUGCAAUGAGGGGCCAGCACACACCACAGAUUGUGCCGGCUGGUGGCCUGACAUGUUAAUGAUUUUAAGCCUGGGUAUACAUUUCUCCUUCUAAAGGGGCAAAAGUACAGUAGAUCCCAUUGUUGUUUCUACGUUUGGUACCCGAGGGGCAGUUUUGAGGUGGUGUCGCUGAUUGUACUGCGGGGAAAGUGUCUGCUCUCCACCGGAGAGGCGUACGUCCUGGUGGCGAUGUCACCGCUGUGCGUCUCCAUCAGCUCCGGGCCGUGAAAGGAUCAGGUCUCUGUCAAAUAGACCUCUUAAAUUCUACCCUAAAUGCAGUAAUAAGAGCGGUUUCCGUGUGCAGUUUAGUCUUUGUUUAGACGGCAGGGCAAUGAACUGAGUUGUUCAAAAAUGUCACGUCACUUCUCCCGGGAGUCAAAUGUUUCCCAUUUGUUCAUGUUCAUCAGGCUCUCAUUGGAACACAGCAGAUGUUUUAAGACGAAUAUGAGCGGUUGCGGAGGUCAGCUUAUUGAAGGGAACGUGGUUUCCACCCAAGCCGCUCAUCAUAGAAGAGAAGAGGUUUUAACGUGUACGACGCUUGUUAUAGUUGUUAGAAAAGUGACUGACCCCUCAGGACGCACCUCUAAGUGGUAUUGCUGCCACUUGUUUAUGUCAGAGUCACAGUCAAAAGUUCAAGCAAUGUUCCAAGAGAUGUUUUUCGAGCCCAAGUGACUACUUGGAGCAACAGUUUUUGAGGACAGCUUGCUGUGGUGUCAUGGGGAUUGUUGGCUAACCCUCAAACAAAAGUUGAGCAAGAGUUUGAGAGAUGAGUGCCGGUGUUGUCAGUUUGUGAUGUUGCAGUACAGAACUCGUGUUACAUAAGAGAAUUAUCAGUGGCAUGGCUGACAUGAUAACAAACAGACGGGACCAGGCACAGAAGGUCCCUUUAUCCGACUGAUGCCAGACACAUAAUAAUCCUAGAAGCACAAAUAAGCACUUUCACCUGCUGCAGACUUCUCCGGAAAUAUUGGAGUUGAUGUCACAAUGAAUCUGUAAAAAAGAAAACAUCACACAAAAUGUUUCACAGCCGAAUACUGCACAAGAGUAUUGAUAUUUUACAGCGUUGAGUAAAAAUAAGAAGGAGAAACCACAUAACGGGUUAUGUAUGCGCUCCCACACCUCCAGUGUUGCAUACAUGCAUGAAUACCUCAACUAAAUUGGACAUGGCUCCACCAGCAGUUGUUGAAAUAGAACAAAAAACAAGCGAGCAGAACAUGAUGAAUACAUGAAUACAUUAAAUGUGAAUCAAAACUAAGAAUUAGAGACAUCAUUGGCGUUAGUUGUUUGGACACCUUUAGCCAGUUUUCAGAGAGGAGAAGUAGAAACUGCUUUAGAUGCUUUUUAAUUAGCUUUGUUCUGACUUUGUAUUCCUCUGCUCCUCCAGCUCUCGUUUCAUCGAUUUGCUUUCAUCUUUCACUUAUUUUUUCAUUUCUCUCUGCUGUAUGUUUAUCUGUUAACCUCUCAUCUAUAUUGUAAGUCAUGACGAGGAGGUAUACUGGGGGGGUCUUUGGCAGGAUCAUUACCUAUUCCUCCGCUUGUCCCUUGAUCCUUUUUAACCGACCCACCUUUUUAUAUUUCAUCCCUCUUCCUCGGCUCCUUCCCUUCACUCCUGAGUGCUCUUCAGAAUCAAGGUGCUCUGACAAUUGACAGUUCUUCAUCCUCAGACCGGUUGUCAUGGAAAUUGGGCUUUCCAAACUGCACUAUUCACAUGAAACAUGAAUGAUGAAUUUGAGUUUUUGUGUGUGACACACUGUAUAUGUGUGUGUGCGCAUGUGCGGAUAGGUGUGUGUGUGUGUGUGUUAGGGGGCCAGCGGGAGGAUUUCAGCAGUUAAUCACUCUUUCUGUCAUUUCCCUCAAAAGAGGGAAGAAAAAGACGUGUUGAAUGGAGACAGAAAGGUAGAAAAUCUGCUCAGUGGUUAUUUUCUCAAUGCAGGAUUGCAUUGACUGCAGUCGCUGACAGGGCUAGUAAGUUCGCCUGAUUGCUUUUGGGCUAAAACUGCUCCAUCAAAAGAGGAAAACUAAGCUAUAGGCGCUUAGCCAUCUCUAAAUGAAUGAGCCGAAGGCCUUAGCCUCUUUGGUACGGCUGCAAAUUGGCCAGUUUUGAUAAUGCUGUAAGUACCAAAAUUCUAUAAUCCAUUUAUUUAUUUUGUUGUUCAUUUUAUUAUUUAUAUUUUUCCUUCUUGGGAAGAAUUUUCUUAAUCUCCAUUGAGUACGUGCCUCGCGUGCAGGUCUAUUUUGGAAUAUUCCUACAUGCUUAUUUGUGUUUAUGAAUAUGUCUGUGAGUAUAUUGUGCUGCACACUCUUUAUUGCUAAUCAAGCGCUGAGUGGUUCAAUAGGUUUCCAUAGAAACCAAAAAUGAAUCAGUUGAAGUAGUUGUUGAUUUAAUGAAUGGACUAAUAGGGCUCUAUGUCUUGAUUACUCAGUACAAAUUUGAGUGUGUGUGUGAUUUUUCAAUAAUCAUCAAGCUACGUUUCUUUUGGAUUUAGUUUAACACACUUUCUCCCCCAUCUGCUCUGUGCUCGACACUACCCGUUUCCUCAGUUACCACAAAGCUACACAUCUUGGGCUGCUCACAUAUGGAAGCUGUUGGUCCCACUGGGGUCCAGCAGAAGCUGAACUAUAGUCGAUAUUGUACGUGAACUAUGGUGUAAAGUUGUACAGUUACACUUCCUGUCCCAGUCCAGACAGCGUCCCCCUUUAACCUUUGCAAAGGUGAUUCCCCUUUCCUCUUUUGCCGUGCUAACUCCAGUGAAUUCUGUCCUCUGAUGGAGUGUGACGCAGCCGUGUAUCACCACCCCUCUCAUAUGAUGUUGUUUUCAUGUAUCCAGCCUUUCAUUUCUGACAUGUGGAGACGGAUAGUUCAAACCACCUUCCCACAGACCCGUUUUUACUUCUUUACUUCUGACUCUAUGAAUACUCGCGUUUGUCUGUGAUCUGAAAAGAGAUAUCAUAUGAUAGUUUGUGCAGCUUCGUGUCCACACGCAACCUCAAAGCUACUGUUAUCCGUCCUGUUUCCUGUCCAUCCGAUAAUCAGCUCCUCCACAUUGAGAUUGGCGCGUCAGUCAUUUCCUGUGACAAGUAUUUAAGCAAGCGUGUUGAUUUAAUAGGACUUAGUAAAAAAAAAGUGUAUUUUAAUAGAAUUUCAUUCCAUUUUGUACUAUAUGAAACACUAAUCUCACUUAGACAGUUGAGCAUCUUCCCAGCAGCAGCCUGAUAAAGUCACGGAGAGACUUAUAGCUGCCUCGAAAUGUAAUUCCGCCAAGAAGUUGUAAUCUGUAUGUCAUCCUCUGGAUAAUCAUAGUUGCACUAUUAUCAACGUGCAAGGAUCUGUGGAUUAGUGCAAUUUUACAGCAACAGUUACAUUUCUUUUUCAUGUCUUGUCAAAGAAAGUACAGUUUUCAAAAAGAACACAUGAGGUCAAAUGGGUUUUUAUCAAAAGCGUAUCUGCUCUAAAUGAUUACAGCUCAUACACCCUGUACAGAGAUGUAUUCUUUUGAAACAAACACGCGUUUGUAUAUAUUUAGCCUGCUUCAGACUGGACUGGCUCUCGUGUAUCCUUCAUGUCUGCUCGCCUGUCACCUUUGAACUUUUUUACCUGCUGGAUUUGUGAACAUCGGUCUGCUGUCAGUUUUGAUAUUUUCCCUCCCAUAUUGUUAUGUCCAGGAUCGUUAUCAGCGGAGCAACUAAAGAGAAUGGACUCUUUUGUCAACAGGCAGGAAAAAGGUCAUGUAGGGGUCUCCUCUGGCCAGACCUGCUUCCUGUCUCUAUCACCGAGGAAAAGGUUAGUGCUAUCAGGGACCAACAACCAACAGUUUGUGUCUUAUCACACAACUAUGGACUGUAGAUCUGCAAUGGAGUGUCGCAUUUUUUAAAACUGAAGUUACUGUGAGCAAAAACGUUGUAGUGUUUAUGUGCGUCAUAUAGAGGCAUCAGUAUUAAAUCGAGGCUGUUUCAUAACCACUUAAAAGGCAGUGACUUUAAGCCUAAGUGUCUUUUCAUCACCUCACUAUGUUGCCUCCUGUUGCGUGUGCAUGUGUGUUUGCGUGUGAGUGUGUGUCAUAUAGAGCUCUUCGACAGCCCUCUCCCUAUAUUAUUUCAUCGUCUCUCCACAUGCGGCCAACAUCCAAUGCAAUAAUUAGCAAUCAGUCUCGCUCCGGUAGCUCCAUUCGCUAACCUGGGGCACACGCAAUGUCACACACUCACAAAUCACGCUGCAUAAGGGAGAAACACCCUGAAAUGAUGGUUCCCUGUCUACUUGAGGCUGUAUAUGUGUGUCCUUGUGGGCUCCAGCUUUGACACAAUAAAGCACAACAAUACUCAAAAGCAAAGGGGAAACACAAGACGAUGGCGCAGAGGAGAGACCCAUCAUACGAAAAAAGCAGGAACAAAGGCAAAUACAUGUCAGACUGUAGAUAGUGGGAUAUAAGACAUUGGUAAGCUGGAAAAAAGAUAUCCAAAUAAAGCAGGAUAAUGGAGAAGCGGGAGCACGUACACAUUUGCAGAAACUGCUGCAAAGAAUGGAAAACGGAUGAGGCACUUCAUGUAAUGAGCUUUCCAUGAAUGUUCAUUUUAUAAUCAGCUUUCCCUCUCAUGCGGGCACAUGAAUGAUAAAAAGCACAACAGCUAUUAAAACGCUACUAACAAUAAAAGUCACAUGGCUCCCUUGAGUGCAGUUAAUGCAUGUAUUUUAUUUUUUCGGAAAUCAGGAAAUGCCUCCUGACAAGUGAGGGUUCCAGACCCCGACCGUAGAUAGAAAGUAACUCUCAAAUCCAGAGUGCAGAGAGAAAACCCUCAGCAUUUGGUGUUAGUAGUUGAACAUGAUGUUAUUCUAUAACCU
ensembl:lncRNA